AUUGUUAAUAUUGUAAGCUUGUAAGCUACGAAAUGCUGUCAGCUUCUAGGUUUGUUAUGUCCGUUUGCAUUAAGUGCAAUGUAUACAGAUUCAGCCAACCUAGCGGCUGACAGCAAUUAGUGGCUUCCAAUAGUAACAAUAGGAUGGCAUAUAUUGUACGUCGUUAUAAAUUUAAAAUAACUGCAUACCUAAUGUAUUGUUAGACUACAAAAAUACAAAAUAAAGUCCAAAUUCAGGUUAAUGUGUUAAGACAGAUACUAAAUAAUUGCAUGAUGGUCAGUCUCUAAAGAGUCCAAACAUUGGUACUAAAAUUUUCUUUAUGAAUCUACAUUUAGUUUAAGUAUAUUAUUUAAUUUAAUAGCUAUGUAUAUUUAUCAAUUUUUGUUUAUUUCAGGAAGUACAGUUCUUAGCCCUAGUACGAAACUCAAUAAAUGUAUUGCAAAGGACAUUAAUGCCAUGGAAUACCUAUAAAUGUCAACAUGUUCACACACAUCUCAAAUAAGGAGAAUUACACUUCUUAGCCCUAAUACUAAACUCAAUAAAUGUAUUGCAACGGACAUUAAUUCCAUGGAAUACCUAUAAAUGCCAACAUGUUCCCACACAUCUCAUAUAAGAAGGAAGCAGUUAAUAUAUUUUGUUAAGAUUAUUUAUUGAUAUAAAGAUGAUCAUGAUAAAUUAUAUAUUUUUACAUAUUAUAAAUUAGUUAAAAUAUUUGUUUAAAUAUGGAUGUAUUAUAAAAUCCGCACUGUCAUUCUGUUAAUACUGUAAUUUAAUUUUUAUC